rnacentral:rRNA from 1 species
AUACGGAGGAUCCGAGCGUUAUCCGGAUUUAUUGGGUUUAAAGGGAGCGUAGGUGGAUUGUUAAGUCAGUUGUGAAAGUUUGCGGCUCAACCGUAAAAUUGCAGUUGAAACUGGCAGUCUUGAGUACAGUAGAGGUGGGCGGAAUUCGUGGUUUAGCGGUGAAAUGCUUAGAUAUCACGAAGAACUCCGAUUGCGAAGGCAGCUCACUAGACUGUUACUGACACUGAUGCUCGAAAGUGUGGGUAUCAAACAGGAUUAGAUACCCUGGUAGUCCACACAGUAAACGAUGAAUACUCGCUGUUUGCGAUAUACAGUAAGCGGCCAAGCGAAAGCAUUAAGUAUUCCACCUGGGGAGUACGCCGGCAACGGUGAAACUCAAAUGAAUUGACGGGG